CCUGGAAAGGGUAGAAAUCUUGUGAUCUUGAUGGAGGGCUAAUUCACACUGAGCCAGAAGGUGUUGGAAGCUGGGUGGAUCAGCUGAAGGCCAGGAAGGGAAAGAAAGGCAGAAUCCCUGCUACCAAAAGGGAAGUUUCAAUCAGUUGAUCCAGGAGCAGAAAUAAUACCAAAGUUACUUCAUUGACAACUUGCACAUUUCACACAAUGACUAGCGAAUAAUCAAAACGAACAACUCCUGGACAACCCAUAGGCAGAGAAGUUAUUUAUUCCAACUGUUCAGUGAAUAGUACAGCUGGUUGGAAAGAGUUAGUUCAGUUCUGUGGGAAAUUUCAGCUUCAAAAAG